rnacentral:misc_RNA from 1 species
AAGUCGUAACAAGGUUUCCGUAGGUGAACCUGCGGAAGGAUCAUUACCAAAUCCAAAAUACCCAAACCCCGUGUGAACUGUUGUAUAGUCUGUCUUUGGGAGAAAGUUUGUUUUUUUGUUUUUUUUCUUUGAUAUUUUUCUCCUUCUUCUUUUUAUUGAAGAAGAAAAAAGGAAAAUAAUAAUAAUAAAAAAAAUAAUAAAAGCCGCUUUCUCCCAAAAGAGUCCGGCAUAUCUGUAUAUGGAUGUGUCCAGAUUCUUUGAAAAACACCCUUUAAUAAACCACUUGAAUUUUUUUGUUGGAAUUUUUCUUUUUAUUAAUUUAAAUAAAAGACAACUUUUAACGGCGGAUCUCUUGGCUCGUG